GCCCAAACUCGGCAAAUUGACACCGUAACUUCGGAAGAAGGUGUGCCUUUAGUAGGUGAACCUGUACAAGGGGAGCCAAAUGAGGCCGCAGAGAAUCGGUGGCUGCGACUGUUUAAUAAAAACACAGCACUCUGCUAACACGAAAGUGGACGUAUAGGGUGUGACGCCUGCCCGGUGCCGGAAGGUUAAGUGAUGGGGUGCAAGCUCUUGAUCGAAGCCCCGGUAAACGGCGGCCGUAACAAUAACGGUCCUAAGGUAGCGAAAUUCCUUGUCGGGUAAGUUCCGACCUGCACGAAUGGCGUAACGAUGGCCACACUGUCUCCUCCUGAGACUCAGCGAAGUUGAAAUGUUUGUGAUGAUGCAAUCUCCCCGCGGCAAGACGGAAAGACCCCAUGAACCUUUACUGUAGCUUUGCAUUGGACUGUGAACCGAUCUGUGUAGGAUAGCUGGGAGGCUUUGAAGCGGUGCCGCUAGGUGUCGUGGAGCCAACCUUGAAAUACCAGCCUGGUUUGUUUGCGGUUCUAACCUUGGUCCGUUAUCCGGAUUGGGGACAGUGCAUGGUAGGCAGUUUGACUGGGGCGGUCUCCUCCUAAAAGGUAACGGAGGAGCUCGAAGGUCCGCUAGGUACGGUCGGACAUCGUACUGAUAGUGCAAUGGCAUAAGCGGGCUUAACUGCGAGACUGACAAGUCGAGCAGGUGCGAAAGCAGGACAUAGUGAUCCGGUGGUUCUGAAUGGAAGGGCCAUCGCUCAACGGACAAAAGGUACUCUGGGGAUAACAGGCCGAUUCCUCCCAAGAGUUCAUAUCGACGGGGGAGUUUGGCACCUCGAUGUCGGCUCAUCACAUCCUGGGGCUGUAGCCGGUCCCAAGGGUAUGGCUGUUCGCCAUUUAAAGUGGUACGUGAGCUGGGUUUAAAACGUCGUGAGACAGUUUGGUCCCUAUCUGCCGUGGGCGCUGGAAAUUUGAGGGGGCCUGCUCCUAGUACGAGAGGACCGGAGUGGACGCACCCCUGGUGUACCUGUUGUCACGCCAGUGGCAUCGCAGGGUAGCUAUGUGCGGAAGAGAUAAACGCUGAAAGCAUCUAAGCGUGAAACUCGCCUCAAGAUGAGAUUUCCCGGGAACUUGAUUCCCCUAAAGGGUCGUUCUAGACCAGGACGUUGAUAGGUCAGGUGUGGAAGCGUAGUAAUACGUUAAGCUAACUGAUACUAAUUGCCCGUGCGGCUUGAUCCC
rnacentral:rRNA from 1 species